rnacentral:rRNA from 1 species
CCUACGGGAGGCAGCAGUGAGGAAUAUUGGUCAAUGGCCGUAAGGCUGAACCAGCCAAGUCGCGUGAAGGACGAAGGUUCUAUGGUUCGUAAACUUCUUUUAUAAGGGAAUAAAGUGAGGCACGUGUGCAGUUUUGUAUGUACCUUAUGAAUAAGCAUCGGCUAACUCCGUGCCAGCAGCCGCGGUAAUACGGAGGAUGCGAGCGUUAUCCGGAUUUAUUGGGUUUAAAGGGUGCGUAGGCGGCCUGUUAAGUCAGCGGUAAAAGCCCGGGGCUCAACCCCGGCGAGCCGUUGAAACUGGGGGGCUUGAGUUGUCGUGAGGUAGGCGGAAUGCGCAGUGUAGCGGUGAAAUGCUUAGAUAUCGCGCAGAACCCCGAUUGCGAAGGCAGCGUACCGGCGCCAAACUGACGCUGAGGCACGAAAGCGUGGGUAUCGAACAGGAUUAGAUACCCGUGUAGUC